CGUGCAGGUGGUUUGGUAAGUUGGAUGUGAAAUCUCCCGGCUCAACUGGGAGAGGUCGUUCAAAACUGCUGGACUAGAGGACGGUAGAGGAGAGUGGAAUUCCCGGUGUAGUGGUGAAAUGCGUAGAUAUCGGGAGGAACACCAGUGGCGAAAGCGACUUUCUGGCCCGUUCCUGACACUAAGACGCGAAAGCUAGGGUAGCAAACG
rnacentral:rRNA from 1 species